rnacentral:rRNA from 1 species
GAGUUUGAUCGUGGCUCAGAUUGAACGCUGGCGGCAGGCCUAACACAUGCAAGUCGAGCGGAUGACGGGAGCUUGCUCCUUGAUUCAGCGGCGGACGGGUGAGUAAUGCCUAGGAAUCUGCCUGGUAGUGGGGGACAACGUUUCGAAAGGAACGCUAAUACCGCAUACGUCCUACGGGAGAAAGCAGGGGACCUUCGGGCCUUGCGCUAUCAGAUGAGCCUAGGUCGGGUUAGCUAGUUGGUGGGGUAAUGGCUCACCAAGGCGACGAUCCGUAACUGGUCUGAGAGGAUGAUCAGUCACACUGGAACUGAGACACGGUCCAGACUCCUACGAGAGGCAGCAGUGGGGAAUAUUGGACAAUGGGCGAAAGCCUGAUCCAGCCAUGCCGCGUGUGUGAAGAAGGUCUUCGGAUUGUAAAGCACUUUAAGUUGGGAGGAAGGGCAGUAAGUUAAUACCUUGCUGUUUUGACGUUACCGACAGAAUAAGCACCGGCUAACUCUGUGCCAGCAG